GCAAGUCGAGCGCGCCCUUCGGGGGAGUGGCGCACGGGUGAGUAUCGCGUGGGAACGUACCCUUUAGUAUGGAAUAGCUCCGGGAAACUGGAAUUAAUACCGUAUACGCCCUUCGGGGGAAAGAUUUAUCGCUAAAGGAUCGGCCCGCGUUAGAUUAGCUUGUUGGUGAGGUAAUGGCUCACCAAGGCUACGAUCUAUAGCUGGUCUGAGAGGAUGAUC
rnacentral:rRNA from 1 species